CAAGUCUGAUGGAGCAACGCCGCGUGAGUGAAGAAGGGUUUCGGCUCGUAAAGCUCUGUUGGUAGUGAAGAAAGAUAGAGGUAGUAACUGGCCUUUAUUUGACGGUAAUUACUUAGAAAGUCACGGCUAACUACGUGCCAGCAGCCGCGGUAAUACGUAGGUGGCAAGCGUUGUCCGGAUUUAUUGGGCGUAAAGCGAGUGCAGGCGGUUCAAUAAGUCUGAUGUGAAAGCCUUCGGCUCAACCGGAGAAUUGCAUCAGAAACUGUUGAACUUGAGUGCAGAAGAGGAGAGUGGAACUCCAUGUGUAGCGGUGGAAUGCGUAGAUAUAUGGAAGAACACCAGUGGCGAAGGCGGCUCUCUGGUCUGCAACUGACGCUGAGGCUCGAAAGCAUGGGUAGCGAACAGGAUUAGAUACCCUGGUAGUCCAUGCCGUAAACGAUGAGUGCUAAGUGUUGGGAGGUUUCCGCCUCUCAGUGCUGCAGCUAACGCAUUAAGCACUCCGCCUGGGGAGUACGACCGCAAGGUUGAAACUCAAAGGAAUUGACGGGGGCCCGCACAAGCGGUGGAGCAUGUGGUUUAAUUCGAAGCAACGCGAAGAACCUUACCAGGUCUUGACAUCCAGUGCAAACCUAAGAGAUA
rnacentral:rRNA from 1 species